GGUUUAGCCCAGGGGUUUAGUUGGGAGGAGGGAAUGAUCUCUAACAAGGCUUUAAAACCUUCAGUGGUUAAAGUUGUAUUGAUGAGGAUAUAUAGACACACAGGCACACACACAUAUAAUGCACAAGUUCAGCAGGAUUGCAUAAUGAACAAGAAUUGUAAAUUUUAUAGUUUCCAGAUUGUUUGAACUUCGCUGGCCGCACAAUACAGGAAGGAAGACUAAAGCAGCAAAGGGACCUACAGCGUCUGCAGCAUGGGCUGGUUAACUAGGAUUGUCUGUCUUUUCUGGGGAGUAUUACUUGCAGCAAGAGCAAACUAUCAAAAUGGGAAGAACAACGUGCCAAGGCUGAAAUUAUCCUACAAAGGUAAACCUUAUUUUUCUUUUAUUUGGUUAGCUUUGUAAUAACAGCCCCCCCUUUCAUUCCUUAAACUCCCUCCCAACCCCAAAUCAUCAAACCUUUAGUUUAACCUGGAAAACCUAUGUGAUUAUAUGUCUCUUUCUGAGAUGUUUUAAACCGUUUUGUAAAAAGCAUGUCUUCUGUUUGAUAUAUGACAAUUUAAAUGCAAACAAAGAACAUUUAAUCACAUUUGCUGAAAAGAGCUGUAUGCCUGGUACACGCUGAUCUGUAUAUCUUACUAUCGUAUCUUAUGCCUGUUAAUUUUUCUGACUUUACUUCUAUUAAAAUAUUU
rnacentral:lncRNA from 1 species